CUCUUUUAGAGCCCAUAUCGACAAGAGGGUUUACGACCUCGAUGUUGGAUCAGGACAUCCUAAUGGUGCAGCCGCUAUUAAGGGUUCGUUUGUUCAACGAUUAAAGUCCUACGUGAUCUGAGUUCAGACCGGAGUAAUCCAGGUCAGUUUCUAUCUAUGCAAUGAUUUUUUCUAGUACGAAAGGACCGAAAAAAAGAGGCCUAUACUCCUAGUAUGCCUCACCCCCACCUAAUGAAAACAACUAAAAUAGGCAAAAGGGCAUGCCCCUUUGCCGAAGAUUACGGCAU
rnacentral:rRNA from 1 species